rnacentral:tRNA from 1 species
GGUCCCGUAGCUCAACUGGAUAGAGCAGCCGCCUUCUAAGCGGCAGGUUGAAGGUUCGAGUCCUUCCGGGAUCACCA